rnacentral:rRNA from 1 species
AUACGUAGGUGGCGAGCGUUAUCCGGAAUUAUUGGGCGUAAAGAGUGCGUAGGUGGUUACCUAAGCAGGGGGUGAAAGGCACUGGCUUAACCAAUGUCAGCCCCCUGAACUGGGCUACUUGAGUGCAGGAGAGGAAAGUGGAAUUCCUAGUGUAGCGGUGAAAUGCGUAGAUAUUAGGAGGAACACCAGUGGCGAAGGCGACUUUCUGGACUGUUACUGACACUGAGGCACGAAAGUGUGGGGAGCAAACAGGAUUAGAUACCCUGGUAGUCCACACCGUAAACGAUGAGCACUAGGUGUCGGGGGAGCAAUCCUUCGGUGCCGCAGUUAACGCAUUAAGUGCUCCGCCUGGGGAGUACGUACGCAAGUAUGAAACUCAAAUGAAUUGACGGGG